GACGAACGCUGGCGGCGUGCUUAACACAUGCAAGUCGAACGGAAAGGCCCUGCGUUUGUGGGGUGCUCGAGUGGCGAACGGGUGAGUAACACGUGAGUAACCUGCCCUUGACUUUGGGAUAACUUCAGGAAACUGGGGCUAAUACCGGAUAGGAGCUCCUGCUGCAUGGUGGGGGUUGGAAAGAUUCGGCGGUUGGGGAUGGACUCGCGGCUUAUCAGCUUGUUGGUGGGGUAGUGGCUUACCAAGGCUUUGACGGGUAGCCGGCCUGAGAGGGUUACCGGCCACAUUGGGACUGCGAUACGGCCCAGACUCCUACGGGAGGCAGCAGUGGGGAAUAUUGCACAAUGGGCGGAAGCCUGAUGCAGCAACGCCGCGUGCGGGAUGACGGCCUUCGGGUUGUAAACCGCUUUCGCCUGUGACGAAGCGUGAGUGACGGUAAUGGGUAAAGAAGCACCGGCUAACUACGUG
rnacentral:rRNA from 1 species